UUGAUUGAAAACUCUGAGGGGGAGGGGAGGGAAGGCGUGAUUAUAAAAUCGAUAUUAUAAAAUCGAUUCGAUCAUCGAGCGAGGCGUCGAUCGUCGUUGGUAGAAGAAUCGAGAGAUCGUCCAAGGCAAGGUUUCCACGGGAGAAAUAAAAGACAGGAGCGCGACUAGGUGUCCUUCGUCCUGAUCCAAUCGCCAUGGCCGCAAAUUUUUUCCGUCUGGCCCGAACCCGAUCAUAAUUCCCAUCGUACGUCGUCGAUUAUAUUCGAGUCUCUCUUUCCCUUCCUCAAUUUCUUCUCUUUCUUUCACCGAGAAUAUUUUCCUUCCUUUUUUUUUACAGGAGAUACGAUUUAUCGAUUUUUCGAAUCGAUCGUUUCGUCUCGAUAUAUAUAUAUGCAGAAGAAAAAUCCGAUCGAUACGCGCGUUACGGAAAGAGUUACUCCAUAUUCAGACUGAAUCCGUCGUUCGAGGCCGAGCUUGCCUCAAGGUCAAUCCUUACCCGGCAACCGCUUUGAAACGUAUCAUCCGCGAUAAAUUAAGAGAGGAUUGAAGCCUGUAUCGAAAUUCUAAACAAUCGCGUCCGAAACGCGUGGUAAAAAUAUUGCCGCGGGAAAUCGCACGAGUAAAACGGUGUGGAAUUAAUCUUUUCGCGAUAGAGAGAAAUAUUUAAUCGAAUUCUCGUUUCAGUUUCGGUGAAAAAAAGAAAAAAAAGAAAAACUGUGUUGUGUCUACGCGUCUCUUUUAUAUUUAAAUAAUUCGAAUCGAACGAAUAAGAGAGAGAGAGAGAGAGAGAGAAUAAAGAAUAUCGAGCAAAUUAAUAACCGUCCGUUCGAAUCUUUAAAUCUUCCACUCGUCACGUCUCGAGCGAUAUCGAGGAGCGUGCGAGGAGAGGGGGUAGGGGGGGCGGAGAAGGAAAAGGACGGUGGGAUAUAAUCGUUCGAAGACGUAUCGACGAACAAACAGGAAGCAUCACGCGGCAGAAACGAUGCCAAAGUGGAGAGCUCGGCCUUGCCAACCGAGUUCCAGCUCGUGUCACGUGCGGAAUAGGAGCGUACAUACGAGCGGGUUGCCGUAGGUCGGCGACGAAUCAUCAUCAUCGGUCGCCCGAGACUUGUACACAUAUUGGCCGUCCAAGAACGCGGAUAAUCUAACCUCGAAGGCCGAUGGAAAAUUCACCUCCAGGCUUAUUUAUAACCGGCGUAUAACCAUAAUGUAACGCCAAGUGUUGUGCAACGAUCACGUUUCUUUCGUCAAUUGGUCGCUUCAUCAGAAUUGAAGGGAUAUUCGAUACAUAAUUCUCGUCGCUCGAAAUCGUACUCGAAAAAUUUUAAAUUCGUUGAACUUCCGUUCUCGAAGAUCUCUCAAAUUUUGGAAAAUUUUAAAUUUCGAACGGAAGAUCUCCAAGAUCCAAAUUUUGGGAAAUUUUAAAUUUCGAACGAAAGAUUCAAAUUUUGGGAAAUUUUAAAUUUUUGGAAAAAUGGAAAUUACAGAGAAAUUUCCAGAAUAGAAAAAAGAAAAGUUUCAAAGAAAUUUCCAAAUUUCAGGGAAUAGAACGCAGAGAAGAAUUUUUAAAUUUCGGAGAAUACAAAAUUUCAAAUUUCGAAAAACGAGAUAAAAAUUUCCAAAUUCUCAGAUUCGAGUGCAAAAAAAAAAAGAAAGAAAGAAAAAAGGUAAGUAAGGUGUGUUACAAGCAUGGGAUGCAUAAUCGAAAGGGGUGGAACAGGUGUCGCGUGCGUGUAACGCGAGGGGACAUCGGUAACCGAUAUCUGGUUGGUGGGCAGCACCUGUCGAUGCCUCUCUCCGCAUCGCAUCGCGGCGUAAUCCCCGUGCGUGAUGUUGUGUAACCCUCACGUUUCGCCUUGCUCACGUGCCUGCCUACCUGUAAUAAUCGCUCGUCGCGAGUGCAAUUAUCGGUGGUGCCGCGUGCUCUGUUACGCGUCUUCCCCGUUACACGUGAAAAAUUUCAUCGGUUUGGCAUUUCAACCGAUUAACCAUUAUCUUCGCGGAUACUUAUGCUAAUUACGCGUUACACGUUAUUGAGAAAUUCACUCACGUACGCCUCGCCGAAAAAAUAUUUCAUUUCGAACGCGCGCCAUUGACUCGUUCGAAAUAUAUUUUUCCGCUUUUCGAAAUUUUACGAACUCGUUGAAUUCAUCGGAAAAUUACGAUUCACGCUGAUACGUACAAGAUGUCGAUCUCGUAUAAAAUUCCACGAUGUUUUUUCAAAAUGUGCAUAUCCUCAUAUAUAUUAUAAUAUUCUUCGAAUUUAAAAAAAUUUUUAUAUUUGAAAAAUUCCGUAUGGUUGGAAAGUACACCGCGAAGAAGAAUAAAACGUUAAUUAUAUCUUAUGUCAAAUUGAUUUGAAAUAUUCAAUUGUGCGUCGUAAAAUUUAAAAGAAUUUUUCGAUCGAAAAAAUUUCAAAGAAGCUUCAAAUUAAUCUAAAAAAAAAAAAAAGAAAAAUUCGAUCGAGUCAAAAUUAUCGAAAUUGGAAUUAAGAGAUUGGAAAAAGUAAGUUUGAUCGCUUCUUUAUUCGAAUAUCUCCUCCAAUAAUAAUAACCGGCGUCAAAAUUAAGCGAGAAGUUCUAUUUAUAGACGAGCAGCGGCAGCAGCAGCGGCACCAGCAGUGGCAGCAAAUUUGGGUAAGUGGGUAACAUUGUGGGAAGAUAUGGAUGACAAGUUUGGAAAUAUCGAGGGAACUUGGCGUAAUAAGAUUAAUAUAGAAUCGUCGAAGGAUGAGUCGAUUCUAAGAUAUUGUCUUUUCUUGAAUAGAUAAAAUUCAAUAGAUAGAUCUAUAUUGAUAUCUAUAGACGAGAGUCAUGCGGGCCAUUGUCUCGUACGUUUCUCUCACGUAAGCGGGAUUGGGAAAAUGACACCAGAAUGCUCAAAAUAUUCGAUUUUCUUCUCCCUCCGAAUAAUGUUAAAUAUUAAUAGAAAUCAAAACUUUUAUACUUUAGACUCGACGAUUAUUAUCACGACGAUGUGUUGUUGUCUCGUGCUCGUUCGUUCGUUCGUUCGAAGAAACAGACAGAGCGAAUUAAUAACGCGACGGGGGAAUGGAUAUGUUUAUGUAACUCAAAAGUAGGCGAAACGACGCUACGAGGUCACGUGUAGAGCGAUUUUACACGCUGGUCUACAACGAGACGAGUUAAGCGACGAACAGUCCAAUACCUCGAUCGGUCACAGUGGUCUCUUUGUUUCGGACGAAUUUUUCGAAUCGAAAUUUUUCUAUUUGAAAAUCGAGUUGCUCAAUAUUUUUUUCUUAAAGUAAACACACAGUUAAAGAUCCAAGAUCUUCGAACAAUGCCAUACGCUUUAUUUAUUUUAUCAGGAUAUUUCUCGACGAUACGUAAUGUAUUACAGCGCGAUAAACCGUCGAUAAAAUAACUCGGAAAAUAAUUAUUCCCUUAUCGCCAAGGUUGAUCUUCAAACACGUAACACCGUUUUUAUUCCGAGUUUUAAUAAUCGUGUUUUUUUUUAACAAUAACAUCAAUAUAUAAAAAUUCAUAGAACGUAUAUAUAUAUAUAUAUAUUCCAUCCUAUAAGAUUAAUUCGAUGUUUCGAUCCUCUGAGAUCAUCGACGAUAUCCCUUAUCUCAAAAUCCAAAAGAGAACAAAGAAGAAGAGACCAUAAAAGAAACCGAAUUAACCGAAGAAAAGGGAGAGAGAGAGAGAGAGAGAGAAGAUAAUAACGUCAGACGUGAAUCACAGGAACGUCUUGGGUACACGUGAUCGUUGGAUUAUUGAUGGUUCUCGAGCGUAAAAACGUUGGCAUAUUAUAGCGGGUCGGGCCGUUGCGUAAAGCUCGCAUAACCGGCACGUUGUCACGUUCCAACGGGUGAGACUGAAGUCGAUAUUUUUGGAAUUUUUCAGCAGAAAGGAUGUCUCUUUUACUCUGGAUGAAGUUAAAGUCUUAGAAAGAGAAAUGGUUUGGGAUGAGGUUAAGUUGAUGCUUCUGGAUUUUUUAAGGAGACAGGAUAUUUCUCUCUCUCUCAUACUCUUCUGCUUUUAGGCGAAGCUAAAGUUUCUAAGAUAUAAUAAUUACAGUUUCUCUUUUUCUUUGGAUGAAUUCAAAUUUUGGACAAAUCUAAAUUUCAGAAUCUUAAGAAAUAUAGGAUCAUCUAAUUAAUGUGUGCAGUCGCCUUGUUAUAGGUAAGAAUCAAAUUCGAACAUAACCAAGCGUAUAUUUUUCCGCUCACUUUUUUCAAUAAAUAAAUAACUUUUAACGAUUCUUUCACUCGAUCUAUGAUAUUUCGCACGUAUAGAAGGAUGAUUCAACCUGAAUAUAUUAUUAUCGUCCUCGAGCGUGUAUAUAUACUCUAUACACUUUGCAAAAAUUUUCGAGCGAUUUCGAUCUACGCGUCUAAAUUAUAAAUAUUAAUAACGUAAUUACUAGGAAAUAGGAUAAGGAUCGAUCGUGCGUUAUCAUCUUUCCCAUAUAGUACGUUAUUAAAUACCAUUAUUCCUUUUGACACGAACAAUUAUGGAAAAACACUAUUUCCGUCUCUGUUCUGAAGAAAUCGAUGGGGAAUGGAGGAGUGGAGGGGGGGGAGGAGGAGAGGAGCAGGGUAUAUAAUUAGCUAGUCGUAAGCGCGAAAAAAUGGUUGGCAAAUGGGGCGGUUAAUACGCCGCGAUAAAAAUCGAGUUCGUUUCACCGUGGCAAACCUGCAUCGAUUGCACUUUAUUUCUGACACAAUGCAACCUUAUCCCCCCUCCUCGUCCCUAUCCUCGUCUAAUCCUUUCCUCCACCGCUUUCUCUCCUUUUUUUUUUUUCUUUCUUUCUUAACAUAUUCAUCCCAUCACGAAGACGAGAAAUAAAACUUUCGUUUCGUUUUCGGUUCCCCCCCCCCUCUCCAAAUCGUCCCUCCAAAUUUUAUUAUCCCUUUAUUUAUUAAGAAACGGAUGGAAUAGUAACGAUUUACGAGAGGAAUAUAACACGUAAUUAUCGUAUUUUUCUCGAUAUUUUUCCUCCGGUUAAUUUUCUCGAGAGACGGAAAUAAUCGUAUCUCCGUCGGAUCGCCGAGAAUCGAGAGACGGAAUAACGAUCUUCGAUUUCGAUCUCGUUAACAUCCUUCCCCCCUCGCGGUUCCCUCCCCGGCGCGAGACCGAG